rnacentral:rRNA from 1 species
GAUGAACGCUGGCGGCGUGCUUAACACAUGCAAGUCGAACGGAAAGGCCCAAGCUUGCUUGGGUACUCGAGUGGCGAACGGGUGAGUAACACGUGGGUGAUCUGCCCUGCACUUCGGGAUAAGCCUGGGAAACUGGGUCUAAUACCGGAUAGGACCACAUUUUGGAUGGUGUGGUGGAAAGUUUUUCGGUGUGGGAUGAGCUCGCGGCCUAUCAGCUUGUUGGUGGGGUAAUGGCCUACCAAGGCGUCGACGGGUAGCCGGCCUGAGAGGGUGUACGGCCACAUUGGGACUGAGAUACGGCCCAGACUCCUACGGGAGGCAGCAGUGGGGAAUAUUGCACAAUGGGCGCAAGCCUGAUGCAGCGACGCCGCGUGGGGGAUGACGGGCUUCGGGUUGUAAACUCCUUUCGCUAGGGACGAAGCGUUAUGUGACGGUACCUGGAGAAGAAGCACCGGCUAACUACGUG